UACGUUAAUCUCAAACUGUAAGUAUGUAGAAAUAUAGCGACUUCUCAGUUUGAAAAAUUUCCCCAUGGACAGAAUCAAAGUCCUUGGGUGUACAUACAAUACAGUAAGUCAACUCUGUGUCGGCAUCUUAUUGAGAGAAUUAGUAAUGUUCAAGUUCGAAGAGCUACGCAAAAUGUACAAAAAAGAGCAAGAACGUGUAUCAAAGUAGAAGGAGCACACUUCGAACAUUUAUUAUAAUUAUAAGGAAAUAAAUAAUUAAUUCACGUUGAAUUGAUAAAUUACAAUAACACCGAAACAUUUAUUUUAGUUAUGUACCUUAGGAUCUUUAGGGUUUUUUUUAAACAAGGUGGAGAGAGGGAGAGAGGGAGAGAGAGAGAGAGAGAGAGAGAGAGUGUGUGUGUGUGUGUGUGUGUGUGUGUGUGUGUGUGUGUGUGUUUGAUUACAGCCGUUUCGCUGUUCAUCGUUGUUCUUCCGUCGCGUAGUUUGUCAGCUCCGCUCCAUCCGUCUAUUGUUCGUCACUGUUUUCUUUCUAUAGACGAGCGCUCAUUCGCUAACUUUAACAUCAUAUUGCAUGGAACAGAAGGCUCAAAUCAAAAAAUGACUCAGGACUUUUCGACUUGGAUUCGUGUCCUUUAACUCAUGGUAUACUCCAGGUUCCUUUGUUCUGUUACAUCCUAACACACACACACACGCGCGCGCGCGCGCGCGCACGCGCACGCACACACUCCCACACACACACACACAUACACAAGGUGUCCGGAAACUAGAGAACCUACCGCUUUGAGAGUGUAAAGACGAUAAAAAGGGACAAAAAAGUCUUAUACCAUUUUGCGAUAUUCGCUAUAAUUAUCGAGUUAUAAAAUAAAACAUCUGAGCCAAUGUGCAGUGACGCCGCGCCAUCGCUCCUAGCUCGUAGGUAACGGCGUGCGGUGGGACAGGUGACGCGUCGUUGUUUGAAUUUGCACGACGCGACGGUCUGAAUUCGCCUCACCGCGUAUACACGUACAUACCAUAGAGAUAUUACAUAUAGAGUAGAGAAGCCAGCCUCAAAAGUGACCCGUUGAUAGAAAGAGACAGAAAAUGGGAGCUUUAGUCUAUCUCUCUCUUAAUGGCGCUAGUACAACAAAGACAAGAAUAUAGGUCCUAUCUUCUCUCUCUUUCUAACGGGGGGACAUUUCCACUUACAGAUCUGUUUAUGGCUCCUCUACUCUAUAUGUAAUAUCUUUAUGAUACAUACAAAAUCAAAUGUGUUAUUUAUCAAAUGUGUAAGGAGAAACUUUAGUUAAAAUAACACAUUUGAUUUUUGCAGUGUAUACAUAUACACACGGUGCAGCAAAUUCAGACUGUCGCGCUAUGCCAAUUCAGACAACAACGCGUCACCUUGUUCGCCGCGCGCCGUUGCCUACGAACUAGGCGCGAUGGCGCAGUUUCAUUGCACAUCGGCUCAGACGUUCUAUUUUAUAACUCAAUAAUUUAUAACAAAUAUUGCAAAAUGGUAUAAGACUUUUUUGUUCUUUUUUAUCUUCUUUGUGUUCUCAAAACGAUAGGUUCCCUAGUUCUCGAAUACCCUGUACACACACACACACACGCACGCACGCACGCACGCGCGCACGCACGCACGCGCGUACGCACGCACAUACAUAUGUACUAUUUUAUUCUUCUAAGUUCAUCGCUUAUUAAUCGCAUAAUUUUAUACCCUCCUAAAAUUUUUUUUCUCUUACAUAAACAAAUCGUUGUGCUCUGGGCGAUGCAUUAUGACACAAUCUGGACACAACUGGUGACAGCUGCGUUUCCUUUAAAAACCAAUCAAAAAAAUUACGUCCCGACAUAAGCAUUGUUAUAAUCGAGCAUUAUAACGGUCCAUAGCAACCGAUCUCGGGUUACCAUGCACCGAAAAGAAAUUAAACUUAUUGUCUAAAGCGCUGUCGCAACGCGUGCAAAUCCGGGAACUUUAAAACCCAACGGUAAUUGCCCGAAUUAGUUCCAACAACGCCGACACAACACUGACACACGUUGACCAUGCGGAAAUAUCGGACAUUGCACUUGCAAUCGGCAAUAGUCUUUCACAAUUGCAAUCAAUAUAAAAACACCGCUUGACACUCAAGCGGCGAACAGUCAUUCGAAGCUUCGAUACGAAACACAUCUCCGUCAAGCAGUCAGUCUACAGCAGCAGCCACACUUACGAAGACCCAUACAUACAGUACGGUCACACCGUUAGCAUGUACAUAUUAGUAUCGUUCAAUGUACCGCAGCUGUAAUACGAGCCGCCGCUCCCAACGAUUUCGUGGGUCCUCACCCCCUCCACGGCGUCCAUCGGGCUUAGACCGGACUUUGUACGUUAGCCGUACAACAGCAUCACAAACCGCGGACGUAACAAUACAUAUUAUUAAAUAAUAAGAAAAAAUAAUAAAAUCACAUAUCUAAGAAAAGCGAAUUAUGGAUCAAAAUUGGCGAGGAUGGUGGAGAGCUUUUACAGUUUAAUAUGCUGGGUAAUUUUUUAGUUCAAACUAAAGAAAUGACUAAUAUUUAAUUUAUAAUUUAAAAAGUGUAAAUUGUCAAAUCUACAGUUCCUGAAAUGUAUUUAAUUGCAAUGAUAUUCACGAAUAUAAUCAAGUGUCUUCUUUCGGUUUUACUGAACCUUGUAUAUGUUAAUAUAAAUUAUAAACAAACUAUGUAAAUAUGAACAAAAAUAAGAGACAUUUUUUUAUACAUGUUAA